rnacentral:rRNA from 1 species
ACUUCUUAGAGGGACUGAGGUCAUUUAGGCCUACGAGAUUGAGCAAUAACAGGUCUGUGAUGCCCUUAGAUGUUCGGGGCUGCACGCGCGCUACACUGUAGGAAUCAACGUGCUUAUGGUCCUGAGCCGAAAGGUUUGGGUAACCCGUUGAAACUCCUACGUGCUUGGGAUAGGGAAUUGUAAUUAUUUCCCUUAAACGAGGAAUUCCUAGUAAGUGUGGGUCAUCAUCUCGCGUUGAUUACGUCCCUGCCCUUUGUACUGAGCG